rnacentral:lncRNA from 1 species
AAAUCCACGUCUCAAAACUAAUUGAGAGGAAUCAAAACUUCUCUUUCUACUCAAUGCACAUGAAGAUGGAGGUUUUUGUAUACUAUUUGGGUACGUAUCACCUUUGGGGACUACUUUCAUUGCACAAGCAAACUACCAAGUCACGCACCGCCCUGCUCUAAAAGAUCUAAGUGAAGCACAUAGAGCAAAAUUAUCUAGCUGAAAAGAUAUAAGUGAAGCACGAUGAGCAUUCUAGCAAAAUCAUGAUGAGUGCAUGUCUCUCUAAAAGGGUGUGCAGAAACUAUGAUUGUCACACAACAAAAAGAAAAGACUCCUACGAUACAAGAUGCUCCAAGAAAAACACAUAUCAUGUGGUGAAUAAAAAUAUAGCUCCAAGUAAUGUUACCGAUGGAUUGAAGACGAAAGAGGGGAUGCCUUCUCGGGGCAUCCCCAAGCUUAGGCUUUUUGGUGUCCUUGAAUUUGUCUUGGGAUACCUUGGACAUCCCCAAGCUUGAGCUCUUUACACUCCUUAUCUCUUUGUCCAUGAGAACAUCACCCAAAACUUGAAUACUCCACAACACAAAACUUAAACAGAAACUCGUGAUAACAUUAGCACAAGAAAACAAACUACCACCUCUUUAGGUAUUGUAGCAAUCUUGAUUUCUAUUUAUAUUGGUGUUGGAUUACUGUAUUCUCACUUUUCCAUGGCUAGUACCCCCCCCCCCCCCGAUACUAUCCAUAGUUUCAUCAAAACAAGCAACCAACUCAACAAAAACAGAAUCUAUCAAAAAGAGACCAGUUUGUAGCAAUUUGUAUACUUCUGGUACCUCAAAAAUUAUGAAACAUUACGACUGCCUGGGUAAAAGGCAUAUCAAGGAGCAGCAAAAAGAAUCAACUAAAAAGCUCUUUCUGAAUAAAAAUUAAAAAUAAUCUCGUGAGCGAAAAGUUUCUGUCCUUUUCCAGCAGGAUCAAACAACCAUCACCAAGACUAGUCAUAAAGGUUUAGCUUGGCUCAAACACAAAAAAAACACAAAACACACAAUCACAACAGAAUUAUGAUAGUGUGGAUGAAACAAAACAGAAAGAAAAAUACAAAAAUUCAUUGGGUUGCCUCCCAACAAGCGAUAUUGUUUAACGCCCUUAGCUAGACCUAAGGUGAUGGAAUCACGUAUCGUCGUCUUUGGUGCUCAAACCAUAAGUGGCCCUCAUCAUGGAUUCAUAAGGCAAUCUUACUUUCUUUCUGGGAAAGUGCUCCGUGCCCUUAUUUAAAGGAAAUUGAAAUCUGAUAUUCCCUUCCUUCAUAUCGAUGAUAGCACCGAUAGUCCUUAAGAAAGGUCUACCAAGAAUAAUAGGGCAUGUAGGAUUGCAAUCAAUGUCAAGCACAAUGAAAUCCACGGGUCCAUAGUUCCUAUUUGCAAUAAUAAGAACAUCAUUGAUCCUUCCCAUGGGUUUGUUGACAGUAGAAUCCGCAAGAUGCAAAUUAAGAGAACACUCCUCAAUCUCAUUAAAACCCAGAACAUCACAUAAAGACUUUGGAAUCGCGGAAACACUAGCACCCAAAUCACACAAAGCAUUGCAUUCAUAGUUUUUUAUUCUGAUUUUGAUAGUAGGUUCCCAGUCAUCAUGAAGCUUUCUAGGGAUAGAGACUUCCAAUUCAAGUUUCACUUCAAGAGGUUUUAUCAUAGCUUCGACGAUAUGAUCGGUAAAGGCCUUGUUUUGGCUAUAAGUGUGUGGAGAUUUCAGCAUGCAUUUUAUCAAGGGAAUGCAUUCAAUCAAGGAGCAACAAUCAUAAUUGAAUUCCUUGAAAUCCAAAGUAGUAAUUUCAUUACUACUCAAAGUUUUAAUAUCUUCUACUCCACUUUCAAUGCUUUUAGCAUCAAGAUAGAUAGACUCCGAAUCAUUGGGGCGUUUUUCAACCAAGGUGGAUUCAUAUCCAGCCCCAUCAUCAUUAGGUUUGACACAAGAAAACAAAGAUUCAAUGGGAGUCACACCAAGCACUUUAAGAUCUUCAUGAUCCUUAUCACGAGAACACGCCUUUUUCAGCCAUUCAUGUCUAGCACGAAUUUGGGUGGUUCUUUCUUUGCUCUCACUCAUGGAAACACGCAUAGCUUUCAAAGUUUCAUCCAUAUUUAUCUUGGGAGGAGCACAUCUAAGUUUCAAAGCAUCAAUAUCACUAGACAUUCUAUCAAUGCUCCUUGCCCAAUCGUCAAGUUUGAGUAGUUUUUCCUCUAUGGACGCAUUGAAAAUCUUUUGUGAGUUGAUAAACUAUUUGAUAUUACUCUCUAGAUCAGAGGGUGAUAUAUUGUAAUUUCCAUGAGCAUUGUUGUAGGAGUUGGCAAAGUUAUUAGAGGAUUUACUUUGAAAAGGCCUAGGAACAUAGUUUCCUCUAAAAGCAUUGUUGUUGCCAAACUUAUUCCUACCAACAAAAUUAACGUCCAAGCUAGCGUUUCUACUCUCAAUCAAGGAAGACAAGGGCAUAUCAUUAGGAUCUAAAGAAGCACUUCUACUAGCAACCAUAUUUAUAAACUCAUCCAUCUUAGCACUCAACGAGUUAAUUUCUUCUAUAGCAUGUACCUUCUUACUAGUAAGUGACCUUUCAGUGUGCCACAGAGAGUAGUUCGUCAUGAUAUUAUCUAGGAGUUUUGUCGCUUCUCCUAACGAGAUUUCCAUGAACGUUCCACCAGAGGCGGAGUCCAACAUGUUUCUAGAAGGGAAAUUCAAGCCAGCGUAGAAGAUUUGUAUAAUCAUCCAAAGACACAAGACAUGCGCGAGACAAUUUCUAGUCAUCAAUUUCAUUCUCUCCCAAGAUUGUGGAACAUGUUCAUGAUCAAGUUGCUUAAAAUUCAUGAUAUCAUUACGGCGAGAGAUAAUCUUAGCCGGCGGAAAAUACUUGGAUAUGUAAGCAUCUUUGCACUUAUUCCAAGAAUCAAUACUAUUUUUGGGCAAAGACGAGAACCAAGUUUUUGCUCCAUCUCGCAACGAGAAAGGAAAAAGCUUCAAUUUAAUCACAUCAUUAUCCACAUCUUUCUUCUUUUGCAUAUUGCAAAGCUCAAUGAAGGUAUUAAGAUGGGAUGCGGCAUCUUCACUAGGAAGAGCGUAGAAUUGCUCUUUCAUAACAAGAUUCAGUAAAGCGGCAUUGAUUUCGUAUGACUCCGCACUAGUGGCGGGAGCAAUCGGAGUACUAAUAAAAUCAUUAUUAUUAGUAUUAGAGAAGUCACAAAGUUUGGUGUCUUCAGUCAUGGUGACUUCAGCAAGCAAGCAAGCACACAAGCGGACAAAGAGCAAGCGAGAGAAAAGGGCAAACGAAAAAGGCAAACGAAAACGGCAAAUGAAAAAGGCAAAUAUUUUUUUGUAAUUUUUUUUCAGAAGUGGGGGAGAGGAAAACGAGAGGCAAAAAAGGUAAAUGCAAGAGAUGAGUUUGCGACACUUACUUGGAUGAGUUCUUGACUUGAUCCUCCCCGGCAACGGCGCUAGAAAUUCUUCUGCUACGGCGACGGAAAUCUUCUGUCAUCUCUUGAGCUUGCGUUGGUUUUUCCCUUGAAGAGGAAAGGGCGAUGCAGCAUAGGAGCAGUAAGUAUUUCCCUCAGUUUGAGAACCAAGGUAUCAAUCCAGUAGGAGAAUCUCGUCAAGUCUAGAGUACCUGCACAAACACAAAAGAGCUUGCACCCAACGCAAUAAAGGGGUUCUCAAUCCCUUCAAGAUUGAUUGCAAAGUGAGAUUUGAAGGCGGAAAGUGCAACAAAAAAAAAGUGUAAGGCUGAACAUAUGGUUUGAAGUGGACCCCGAGGGCCAUAGUGUUCACUAGAGGCUUCUCUCAAAAUAGCAAAUAUUAUGGUGGGUGAACAAAUUACUGUCGAGCAAUUGAUAGAACCGCGCAAAGUCAUGACGAUAUAUAAGGCAAUAAUCAUACAUAUAGGCAUCACGUCUGAGACAUGUAGACCGAUACUUUCUGCAUCUACUACUAUUACACCACACAUCGACCGCUAUCCAGCAUGCAUCUAGUGUAUUGAGUUCAUGACGAACAGAGUAAUGCCUUAAGCAAGAUGACAUGAUGUAGAGGGAUAAACUCAAACCAAUGAUGAAAACCCCAUCUUUUUGCCCUUGAUGGCAACAACACGAUGCAUGCCUCGCUACCCCUUCUGUCACUGGGUGAGGUCACCGCACGGUAUGAACCCAAAACCAAGCACUUCUCCCAUUGCAAGAAUCAUAAAUCAAGCUGGGCAAACAAACCCACAACUCGAAGAGAAUUACAAGGAUAUGAAAUCAUGCAUAAGAGAGAUCAGAAGAAACUCAAAUAAGAUUCAUAGAUAAUCUGAUCAUAAAUCCACAAUUCAUCGGAUCUCGACAAACACACCGCAAAAGAAGAUUACAUCGGAUAGAGCUCCAUGAAGAUCAUGGAGAACUUUGUAUUGAAGAUCCAAGAGAGAGAAGAAGCCAUCUAGCUACUAGCUAUGGACCCGUAGCUCUAUGGUGAACUACUCGCGCAUCAUCGGAGAGGUCAUGGUGUUGAUGAAGAAGCCCUCCAUAUCCGAAUCCCCCCUCCGGCACGGCACCAGAACGUGCCCCUGAUGGGAUUUUGCGGAGACAGAAGCUUGCGGCGGCGGAAAAGUACUUUCGAUGAUCUCCUGAUUUUUCUGGAAUUUAUGGGAAUAUAUAGGCGAAAGACCUAGGGCAGAGGCGGCCCAAGGAGCCCACAAGCCUGGGAGGCACGCCCCCUGGCCGUGGCUAGGGGGCUUGUGGGGUCCCUGGUCGCCGCCUGCCUUGGUUCUCAAGCUUCCUGAUCUUCUUCUGUUUCGGAAAAAAUCUUUUUGGAAGUUUCGUUCCAUUUGGACUCCGUUUAAAAUCCUCCUCUGAAAGGGGUAAAAACAUGGAAAAAACAGGAACUGGCACUUGGCACUGAGUUAAUAAGUUAGUCCCCAAAAGAUAUAAAAGGCAUACAAAACAUCCAAAGUUUGAUAGGAUAAUAGCAUGAAACCGUCAAAAAAUAUAGAUACGUUGGAGACGUAUUAAUAGACCCUUUGAAAGGAUCGAUAUGGUUGACUAGAGAGGGGUGAAUAGGAACUAACAAAUUUUAAGCUUUUCUUUAAACAAAUUAGGUUUAGCAACAAAUAGGUUGUCUAGAUAUGCAACUAGGUGAGCUACCUAUAUUGUGCUAACAACAACAAUAAUAAUCGAAGAGUAAAUACAAGUAAUGGUAAGGAAUAACCACAAGUGGAACCGAUGAAGACGAGGAUGUGUUCCCAAAGUUCCUUCCCUUUGAAGGGAAGUACGUCUCCGUUGGAGCGUUGUGGAAGCACAAUGCUCCCCAAUAUGCCGCUAAGCCCAACGUAUUCUCCUCAAGCCCUCACACAAUGCGAGGUGUCUUGAUUCCACUAAGUGAUGCCCUUGAAGGUGGCAACCGGACCUUUACAACAAGGUUGGAGCUCUCUCCACAACUUAAUUGGAGGCUCCCAACAAAACCACGGAGUUUCACCAUAAUGGAAUGUGGCUUCAAGGUGAACUCUUCCGUCUAGGGUGCUCAAACACCCUAGAGUAACAAAAUCCACACAAGAACUUGGGGGAAUCGAUUUUCCUUUGGUGGAAGUGUAGAUCUAGGUCUCCUCCUUCAAUCCCUAGCAAGACAACAAGUUUGGGUGGCUAGGGAGAGAGAUCGGGCAAGAAAGCUUCAGUGCAUCAUUGGAGGAGGGAGAGAGGUAAGAGAUAAGGGGGAGGAAGAAGAAAACCCCCCUUAUAUAUCACCCCCAAAUUUCUAACUGCUAUAACAAUUUUGCAGAGGGCGGUACAACCGGUCGCCGGGCCGGUACAACCAGUGUUUCUAUAUUAGCAAAACAACCGGUGAACCACCGCCCUACAACCGGGCCGAAAUAGGAAGUUGGCCCAGAGGUGUCACCAGCCAUGGCUGCUGGGCGUGGCUAAGUCCCAAGCGGUACAACCGCUUGGAACACUGGUAGUACCGGCUAUAAUUAAUAUAGCGGUAUGAUACUGAUACGUCUCAAACGUAUCUAUAUUUUUUGAUGGUUUCACGCUGUUAUCUUGUCUUCUUUGUAUGUUUUAUGUAUCUUUUUAUAUUUGGGACUAACUUAUUCAUUCAGUGCCAAGUGCCAGUUCCUGUUUUUCCAUGUUUUUGACUCUUUUCAGAUCUGAUUUUGGAACGGAGUCCAAACGGAAGAAAAACCCCGAAAUGAUUUUUUCCCGAACGGAAGAAGUCCAGGGGGCAUUUGGGCCAAGCCAGGUGGGCUCCAGGGAGACCACAAGCCCCCACUCCGCCACCAGGGGGAGGCGGCGGUGGGCAGGCUUGUGGCCUCCCUGGCCGCCCCCUGACCUAUGUCUUGCGCCUAUAUAUUCCCAAAUAUUCCGCAAAAAAUCAGGGGAGCCUCGAAAAUACUUUUCCGCCGCCGCAAGCUUCCGUUUCCGCGAGAUCUCAUCUGGAGACCCUUCCCGGCACCCUGCCGGAGGGGACUUUGGAGGUGGAGGGCUUCUUCAUCAUCAUCAUCGCCCCUCCAAUGACUCGUGAGUAGUUCACUUCAGACCUACGGGUUUGUAGUUAGUAGCUAGAUGGCUUCUUCUCUCUCUUGGAUCUUCAAUACAAAGUUCGCCAUGAUCUUCAUGGAGGUCUAUCUGAUGUAAUCUUCUUUGGCGGUGUGUUUGUCGAGAUGCGAUGAAUUGUGGACUUGUGAUCAGAUUAACUAUGAUAUAUAUUUGAGUCUUUGCUGAUUUCUUAUAUGCAUGAUUUGAUAUCCUUGUAAGUCUCUCCGAGUCUUGGGUUUUGUUUGGCCAANNNNNNNNNNNNNNNNNNNNNNNNNNNNNNNNNNNNNNNNNNNNNNNNNNNNNNNNNNNNNNNNNNNNNNNNNNNNNNNNNNNNNNNNNNNNNNNNNNNNNNNNNNNNNNNNNNNNNNNNNNNNNNNNNNNNNNNNNNNNNNNNNNNNNNNNNNNNNNNNNNNNNNNNNNNNNNNNNNNNNNNNNNNUGGUGACCUUUCCCAGUGAUAGUAGGGGCAGCAAGGUACACAUCAAGCAGUUGCCAUCAAGGGUAAAAAGAUGGGUUUUUAUCAUUGGUUUGAGAUUAUCCCUCUACAUCAUGUCAUCUUGCUUAAGGCGUUACUCUGUUCUUAUGCACUUAAUACACUAGAUGCAUGCUAGAUAGCGGUCGACGUGUGGAGUAAUAGUAGUAGAUGCAGAAAGUAUCGGUCUACUUGUUUCGGAUGUGAUGCCUAUAGAAAUAAUCAUUGCAUAGAUAUCGUCACGACUCUGCACAGUUCUAUCAAUUGCUCGACAGUAAUUUGUUCACCCACCGUCUACUUGCUUUCAUGAGAGAAGCCACUAGUAAACACUACGGCCCCGGGGUCUAUUCACAUCCAUCGUUUACAACUCCGCUUUUACUUUGCUUUGGUACUUUGUUGCUUUCAGUUCUCACUUGGCAAACAUUCCAUAAGGGAUUGACAACCCCUUCAUAGUGUUGGGUGCAAGCUUUUGUGUUUGUGCAGGAUCUUGAGAUACUCUUCCGCCGGAUUGAUACCUUGGUUCUCAAACUGAGGGAAAUACUUAUCGUCAUUGUGCUACUUCACCCUUUCCGCUUCGAGAGAACACCAACGCAAGGCUCCAAGGCCACGGGGGAAAUCCGUUGCAUACUUGCCUAGGAAUUCCCUUAAGGCGUAGCCGUAGCUGAAGGAUUCCUGGUGCCAUCGACACAACUACUUCCUGGCACCGUUGUCAAGGAUCUUUUUGAGGUAGCAGAAGUAUUUCUGGCGCCGUUGCAAGGGAUACACAGCAGAACAAUCAGAAGUAUUUCUGGCGCCGUUGCCAGGGAGGAGAAAUCAAGAUCUAUCCAAGUAGGUCUCACAAACUCUUCUCUUGCAUUUACUUUUGUUGCCAGUUGCCUCUCGUUUUCCUCUCCCCCACUUCACAUUUGCCGUUUUCAUUCGCCUUUCGCCUUCGCCGUUUUCUUUUGCCUUUUUCCGUUCGCCCUUUUCUCUUGCUUGCUUUUUGUUCGCUUGUGUGGCAUGUGCCCUCAAUAUGCUUGCAUCUUCUCUUGCUGAAAAUCUAGUGAUAUGGAUCCUCAUCCACUUGCUAGUCUCUUUAAGAGACCCACUCGUGUGGAACAAAUUUCUAGUGAGUUGAGGGCAAUUGACUAUUUCUUUGGAGUUUUGCGUAAGAUGAGUGAAUCUGAAAAUUGUGAGGAAGAAAUUCAUGAAGUGAUUCAUGAGGGUUCCUUGGAUGAAAACCAUGAUUGCGAUGGUUUCACUAUAAAUUCUAUUAGUGACAAUCAUGCUGAAAUUAUGCAAAACCCUAAGCUUGGGGAUGCUAGUUUUUCUUUGUCCACUACUUGUUGCAAUAAUCAUGAUUGGGGUGAUGAUCUUUCUUAUGAUCUUGAAAAUUUGUUUAAGCCUCGUGAUGAAUAUGAUAUUUGCAAUAAGAUUGAAAGUGGGUUUGGAGAAGUCAUGACUUUAGAUGAUAAUCCCACUAUUUUUGAAGAGCGCCAACUUUGCAUGCAUGUGGAUCAUGAAAAGAAUAUCCUUUGGGAUAGCUAUAUUGUUGAAUUUGAAUAUGAUCCCACAUGUAAUUGCUAUGAGAGAGGAAAAUAUUUUGGUAGAAACUUUCAUGUUACCAAAUUACCUCUCGUUAUGUUGAGAUUGCUAUUGUCUCUUUCUUCUUCCUUGCAUAUGGCAACUAUUGGUUGUCUUGACAAUUGGUUUUCCUACCAAAUGCCUCUGCAUAGGAAGUAUUUUAGACUUAGAUGUGAUUUUCACAUGCUUUAGGAUGCCCUCAUUGUGCUUCAAUUCUUGUCUUUUGUGAGAGCAUCAUUGAAUGCCUAGCUAAGGGCGUUAAAACAAUAGCGCUUGUUGGGAGGCAACCCAACAAAUCUAUCCUUUUUCUUUCUGUUUUGUGUUCUCCACACUUUCAUAAUUCUGCUAUGAUUGUGUUUUUUGUGUUCCUUUUUGCGUUUGUGCCAAGCAAAGCCGUAUUAGUCUUGAGGAUGAUCGUUUGGUCAUGCUGGGAAAGACACAAACUUUCUGCUCACGAAAAGAAUUUUCAAUUUUUUCCUGUAAGAUAUUUUGAGUUGAUUCUUUGUGCUGCUGAUUUCUACACAAAUUCUUCAGACUUUCGUAAUGUUUCAGAAUUUUCGAAGUACCAGAGGUAUAUGAAACAUACAGAUUGCUACAGACUGGUCUGCUGUUAACAGAUUCUGUUUUUGUUGUGUUGGUUGCUUAUUUUGAUGAAACUAUGGAUAGUAUCGGGGGGUAUUAGCCAUGGAAGAUUGAUAGUACAGUAACCCAACAUCAGCACAAGUAGAAUUUAAGUUUGCUACAGUACCUAAGGAAGUGGUAGUUUGCUUUCUUGUACUAAUGUUAUCACGAGUUUCUGUUUAAGUUUCGUGUUGUGAAGUUUUCAAGUUUUGGGUGAAGUUCUUAUGGACAAAAAGAUAAAGAGUGGCAAGAGCUCAAGCUUGGGGAUGCCCAAGGCACCCCAAGAGAUUCAAGGAUGUCGUAAAAGCCUAAGCUUGGGGAUGCCCCGGGAAGGCAUCCCCUCUCUCGUCUUCAAUCCAUCGGUAACGUUACUUGGGGCUAUAUUUUUAUUCACCACAUGUUAUGUGUUUUUGCUUGGAGCGUCUUGUAUCGUAGGAGUCUUUUAUUUUUGUUGUGUCACAAUCAUCCUUGCUGCACACCUAGAGAGAGAGACAUGCACAAACCGUGAUUUUGUUGAGCUUCACUUAUAUCUUUUGGUAAACAAUUCAGCUCACAUGUGCUUCACUUAUAUCUUUUGAGCAAUAUACUUUUGCUCUAUGUGCUUCACUUAUAUCUUUUAGAGCGCAGCGGUGCGUGGCUUGGUAGUUGAUCUAUGCUUUGAAAGUAGUCUCAAAAGGGGUAGUUAUCCAAAGGGAUACGAAAACUUUCACCUUCAUGUGCAUUGAAUAGUUAGAGAAGUUUGAUUCAUCUCAAUAAGUUUUGAGUUGUGGUUAUGGUAAUAUUGAAGUCAUGCUAGUAAGGUGUUGUGGAUCUAGAAAUACUUGUGUUGAAGUUAGUUAUUUCCGUAGCAUGCACGUAUGGUGAACCGCUAUGUGAUGAAAUCUGAGCAUGAUUAGUAUAUUGAUUGUCAUCCUUUGCGUGGCGGUCGGGAUCGCGCGAUGGUUUAUACCUACCAACCCUUCCCCUAGGAGUAUGCGUUGAAUGCUUUGUUUCGAUUACUAAUAAAACUUUUGCAACAAGUAUAUGAGUUCUUCAUGACUAAUGUUGAGUCCAUGGUUUAUAUGCACUUUCACCUUCCACCAUCACUAUCUUCUUACUGCCGUGCAACUUUCGCCGGUGCAUAAAACCCACCAGUAGCAUCCCUCAAAACAGUCACCAUACCUACCUACUAUGGCUUUUUCAAAGUCAUUCCGAGAUAUAUUGCCAUGCAACUACCACCAUGAUAUGUGCCACCACGUCUACAUUGCCUUUGCACGAUCGUAAGAUAGCUAGCAUGAUGUUUCCAUUGAUGUCUAUGCCAUGCUAGAUCAUUGCCACGGUACACUACCAAAGGCAUUCCAUAUAGAGUCAGAAUUUCUCUAAGUUUUGAGUUGAAAGUGUGAUGAUCAUCAUUAUAGCAUUGUCCCAUGUGAGGAAAUAAAAGAGGCCAAAGAAGCCCAAAAAAAGAGGACAAAGAGCCCACCAAAAUAAAAAAUAAAAAUAAAAAUGAGAUAAAAGGAGAGAAGGGACAAUGCUACCACUUUUUCCACACUUGUGCAUUUUGAGCACCAUGAUCUUCAUGAUUGAGAGUCUCUCGUUUUGUCACCACCAUAUAGCUAGUGGGAAAUUUUCAUUAUAUAACUUGGCUUGUAUAUUCAAAUGAUAGGCUUCCUCAAAAUUGCCAUAGGUCUUCAUGAGCAAGCAAGUUGGAUGCAGACCCACUAGUUUUCUUUAAGAGCUUUCACAUACUUGUAGCUCUAGUGCAUCAUUUGUAUGGCAAUCCCUACUCAUUCACAUUGAUAUCUAUUGAUGAGCAUCUCCACAUCUCAUUGAUAUUCCUAGUUAAUGUCACUAUCUUCUCCUUUUUGUCUUGCAACCCCCACCACAUUCCACACCAUCUAUAGUGCGAUAACCAUGGCUCACGCUCAUGUAUUGCGUGAGAGUUGAAAAUGUUUGAGAAAGUAAAGGUGUGAAACAAUUACUUGGCCAAUACUGGGGUUGUGCAUGAUUUAAAUUCGUGGUGCAAUGAUGAUAGAGCAUAGCCAGACUAUAUGCUUUUGUAGGGAUAACUUUCUUUUGGCCUUGUUAUUUUGAAAGUUCAUGAUUACUUUGCUAGUUUGCUUGAAUAAUUAUUGUUUCCACGUCAAUAGCAAACUAUUGUUUUGAAUCUAAUGGAUCUGAACAUUCACGUCACAUAAGAGGAAUUACAAAGGACACCUAUGCUAGGUAGCAUGAAAGCAUAAAAAAUUCAUUCUUAUCACUUCCCUACUCGAGGACGAGCAGGAGUUAAGCUUGGGGAUGCUUGAUGCGUCUCAAACGUAUCUAUAAUUUUUGAUGGUUUCACGUUAUUAUCUUGUCUUCUUUGUAUGUUUUAUGUAUGUUUUCAUAUCUUUUUUGGGACUAACUUAUUGAUUCAGUACCACGUGCCAGUUCCUGUUUUCCCGUGCUUUUGACUCUUUUAAGAUCUGAUUUUGGUACGGAGUCCAAACGGAAGAAAAACCCCGAAAUGAUUUUUUCCCGAACGGAAGAAGUCCAGGGGGCUUUUGGGCCAAGCCAGGUGGGCUCCAGGGAGCCCACAAGCCCCCACUCCGCCACCAGGGGGAGGCGGCGGUGGGCAGGCUUGUGGCCUCCCUGGCCGCCCCCUAACCUAGGUCUUGCGCCUAUAUAUUCCCAAAUAUUCCGCAAAAAAUCAGGGGAGCCUCGAAAAUACUUUUCCGCUGCCGCAAGCUUCCGUUUCCGCGAGAUCUCAUCUAGAGACCCUUCCCGGCACCCUGCCGGAGGGGACUUUGGAGGUGGAGGGCUUCUUCAUCAUCAUCAUCGCCCCUCCAAUGACUCGUGAGUAGUUCACUUCAGACCUACGGGUCCAUAGUUAGUAGCUAGAUGGCUUCUUCUCUCUCUUGGAUCUUCAAUACAAAGUUCUCCAUGAUCUUCAUGGAGCUCUAUCCGAUGUAAUCUUCUUUGGCGGUGUGUUUGUCGAGAUCCGAUGAAUUGUGGACUUGUGAUCAGAUUAUCUAUGAUAUAUAUUUGAGUCUUUGCUGAUUUCUUAUAUGCAUGAUUUGAUAUCCUUAUAAGUCUCUCCGAGUUUUGGGUUUUGUUUGGCCAANNNNNNNNNNNNNNNNNNNNNNNNNNNNNNNNNNNNNNNNNNNNNNNNNNNNNNNNNNNNNNNNNNNNNNNNNNNNNNNNNNNNNNNNNNNNNNNNNNNNNNNNNNNNNNNNNNNNNNNNNNNNNNNNNNNNNNNNNNNNNNNNNNNNNNNNNNNNNNNNNNNNNNNNNNNNNNNNNNNNNNUGGUGACCUUUCCCAGUGACAGUAGGGGCAGCAAGGCACACGUCAAGCAGUUGCCAUCAAGGGUAAAAAGAUGGGGGUUUUAUCAUUGGUUUGAGAUUAUCCCUCUACAUCAUGUCAUCUUGCUUAAGGCGUUACUCUGUUCUUAUGGACUUAAUACACUAGAUGCAUUCUAGAUAGCGGUCGACGUGUGGAGUAAUAGUAGUAGAUGCAGAAAGUAUCGGUCUACUUGUUUCGUACGUGAUGCCUAUAGAAAUAAUCAUUGCAUAGAUAUCGUCACGACUCUGCACAGUUCUAUCAAUUGCUCGACAGUAAUUUGUUCACCAACCGUCUACUUGCUUUUGUGAGAGAAGCCACUAGUAAACACUACGGCCCGCGGGUCUAUUCACAUCCAUCGUUUACAACACCGCUUUUACUUUGCUUUGUUACUUUGUUGCUUUCAGUUAUCACUUGGCAAACAAUCUAUAAGGGAUUGACAACCCCUUCAUAGCGUUGGGUGGAUGCUUUUGUGUUUGUGCAGGAUCUUGAGAUACUCUUCCGCUGGAUUGAUACCUUGGUUCUCAAACUGAGGGAAAUACUUACCAUCGAUGUGCUACAUCACCCUUUCCGCUUCGAGGGAACACCAACGCAAUGCUCCAAGGCCACGGGGGAAAUCCUUUGCAUACUUGCCUAGGAAAUCCUUUAAGGCGUAGCCGUAACUAAAGGAUUCCUGGUGCCGUCGACACAACUACUUCCUGGCACCGUUGUCGGGGAUCUUUUUGAGGUAGCAGAAGUAUUUCUGGCGCCGUUGCAAGGGAUACACAGGAGAACAAUCAGAAGUAUCCAACGUAUCUAUAAUUUUUGAUGGUUUCGUCCUAUUAUUUUGUCAAACUUUGGAUGUUUUGCAUGCCUUUUAUUUAUUUUUUGGGACUAACUUAUUAAGUCAGUCCCAAGUGCCAGUUCCUAUUUUUUCCAUGUUUUUGACCCCUUUCAGAGGAGAUUUUGAAACGGAGUCCAAAUGGAAGAAAAUCCCCAAAAAGAUUUUUUGUGAAACGGAAGAAGAUCGAAGUACUUGGGAGCCAAACCAGAAGAGCCCCAGGGGCCCCACAAGCCCCCACCUAGAUGUUGCGCCUAUAUAUUCCAAAAAUAUUCCCAAAAAAAUCAGGGGAGCAUCAUAAUCGCUUUUCCGCCGCCGCAAGCUUCUGUCUCCGCAAGAUCCCAUCUGGGGCACGUCCUGGUGCCCUGCCGGAGGGGUGAUUCGGCCACGGAAGGCUUCUCCAUCAACACCAUGACCUCUCCGAUGAUGCGUGAGUAGUUCACCAUAGACCUACGGGUCUAUAGCUAGUAACUAGAUGGCUUCUUCUCUCUCUUGGAUCUUCAAUACAAAGUUCUCCAUGAUCUUCAUGGAGAUCUAUCCGAUAUAAUCUUCUUUUGCGGUGUGUUUGUCGAGAUCCGAUGAAUUGUGGAUUUAUGAUCAGAUUAUCUAUGAAUCUUAUUUGAGUUUCUUCUGAUCUCUCUUAUGCAUGAUUUCAUAUCCUUGUAAUUCUCUUCGAGUUGUGGGUUUUGUCUGGCCAACUAGAUCUAUGAUUCUUGCAAUGGGAGAAGUUCUUGGUUUUGGGUUCAUACCGUGCGGUGACCUCACCCAGUGACAGAAGGCGUAGCGAGGCACGUAUCGUGUUGUUGCCAUCAAGGGUAAAAAGAUGNNNNNNNNAUCAUUGGUUUGAGAUUAUCCCUCUACAUCAUGCCAUCUUGCUUAAAGCGUUACUCUGUUCGUCAUGAACUCAAUACACUAGAUACAUGCUGAAUAGCGGUCGAUGUGUGGAGUAAUAGUAGUAGACGCAGAAAGUAUCGGUCUACUUGACUCGGACGUGAUGCCUAUAUGUAUGAUCAUUGCCUUAGAUAUCGUCAUGACUUUGCGCGGUUCUAUCAAUUGCUCGACAUUAAUUUGUUCACCCAUCGUAAUACUUGCUAUUUUGAGAGAAGCCUCUAGUGAACACUAUGGCCCCCAGGGUCUACUCCACACCAUAUUUUCAGCCUUACACUUUUUACUUCGUUGCACUUUCCGCCUUCAGAUCUCACUUUGCAAACAAUCUUGAAGGGAUUGACAACCCCUUUGAAGCGUUGGGUGCAAGCUUGUUUGUGUUUGCGCAGGUACUCUGCACUUGUCGAGGCCCUCCUUCUGGAUCGAUACCUUGGUUCUCAAACUGAGGGAAAUACUUACUGCUCCUGUGCUGCAUCACCCUUUCCUCUUCAAGGGAAAAACCAACGCAAGCCCAAUCUCCGUCAACGUGUCAAUUUCUAGCGCUGUUGUUUGACAAGUAGAAGAAGAAUUUCCGGCACCGUUGCGGGGAGGAAGAUCAAGUCAAGAACUCAUCCAAGUAAGUGUCGCAAACUCAUCAAUUGCAUUUACUUUGUUUGUGAGUUGCCUCUCGUUUUCCUCUCCCCCACUUCACCAAUUUUCCUUUUUUGUUCGCCUUUUUUGUUCGCCUUUUCGUUCGCCCUCUUUCUCGCCUGAUUUUUGUUUGUUUGUGUGCUUGCUUGCUUGCUGAAGUCACCAUGAACGAAAACACCAAACUUUGUGACUUCUCGAAUACUAAUAAUAAUGAUUUUAUUAGUACUCCGAUUGCUCCCGCCACUGGUGCUGAGUCAUACGAAAUCAAUGCCGCUUUGCUGAAUCUUGUUAUGAAAGAACAAUUAUGUGGCCUUCCUAGUGAAGAUGUCGCAUCCCAUCUCAAUACCUUCAUUGAGCUUUGUGAUAUGAAAAAGAAAAACGAUGUGGAUAAUGACGUGAUUAAAUUGAAACUUUUUCCUUUCUCGUUGCGAGAUCGCGCAAAAACUUGGUUUUCUUCUUUGCCCAAAAACAGUAUCGAUUCUUGGGAUAAGUGCAAAGAUGCUUAUAUAUCCAAAUAUUUUCCGCCGGCUAAGACCAUCUCUCUCCGUAAUGAUAUCACGAAUUUCAAGCAACAUGAUCAUGAGCAUGUUGGACAAGCUUGGGAGAGAAUGAAAUUAAUGAUUAGAAAUUGUCCCGCUCAUGGCUUGAGCCUUUGGAUGAUUAUUCAAAUCUUUUAUGCUGGCUUGAAUUUCGCUUCUAGAAAUAUCUUGGACUCCGCCUCAGGUGGAACGUUCAUGGAAAUCACAUUAGGAGAAGCCACAAAGCUCUUAGACAACAUCAUGACAAACUACUCUCAAUGGCACACUGAAAGGUCACCUACUAGUAAGAAGGUACACGCUAUAGAAGAAAUUAACUCGUUGAGUGCUAAGAUGGGGGAGUUAAUGAAUUUGGUUGCUAGUAGAAGUUCUCCUUUGGAUCCUAAUGAUAUGCCUUUGUCUUCUUUGAUUGAGAGUAGCAACGCUAGCUUGGACGUUAAUUUUGUUGGUAGGAAUAACUUUAGCAACAACAAUGCCUUUAGAGGAAACUAUGUUCCUAGGCCUUUUCCUAGGAACUCUCUAAUAACUUUGGCAACUCCUACAACAAUACUCAUGGAAAUUACAAUAUAUUACCCUCUGAUCUAGAGAGUAAUAUCAAAGAGUUCAUCAACUCUCAAAAGAUUUUCAAUGCGUCCAUAGAGGAAAAACUACUCAAAAUUGACGAUUUGGCUAAGAGCGUGGAUAGGAUUUCUUGUGAUGUUGAUGCUUUGAAAGUUAGAUGUGCUCCUCCAAAAAUCAACACGUAUGAAACUUUGAAAGCUAUGCGUGUUUCCAUGAUUGAGAGCCAAGAAAGAACCGCCCAAAUCCGUGCUAGACAUGAAUGGCUUAAAAAGGCGUGUUCUCAUGAUGAGAAUCACGAAGAUCUUAAAGUGGUCGGUGUGACUCCCAUUGAAUCUUUGCUUUCUUGUGUCAAACCUAAUGAUUGUGGGGCUGGAUAUGAAUCCAUUUUGGUUGAAAAGUGCCCCAAUGAUCCGGAGUCCAUCUAUCUUGAUGUCAAAAGCAUUAAAAGUGGAGUAGAAGACGUUAAAACUUUGAGUAGUAAUGAAAUUACUGCCAUGGAUUUCAAGCAAUUCAAUUAUGAUAGUUGCUCCUUGAUUGAAUGCAUUUAUUUGAUGCAAUCCAUGUUGAACUCUCCACACGCUUAUAGCCAAAACAAAGCCUUUACCAAUCAUAUCGUCGAAGCUAUGAUAAAAGCUCUUGAAGAGAAACUUGAAUUGGAAGUCUCUAUCCCUAGAAAUCUUCAUGAUGAGUGGGAACCUACCAUCAAAAUCAAAAUCAGAAACUAUGAGUGCAAUGCUUUGUGUGAUUUGGGUGCUAGUGUUUCUCCGAUUCCAAAGUCUUUAUGUGAUGUUCUGGGUUUUAAUGAGAUUGAAGAGUGUUCUCUUAAUUUGCAUCUUGCUGAUUCUACUGUCAAGAAACCCAUGGGAAGGAUCGAUGAUGUUCUUAUUAUUGCAAAUAGGAACCAUGUACCCGUGGAUUUCAUUGUGCUUGACAUUGAUUGCAAUCCUACAUGCCCUAUUAUUCUUGGUAGGCCUUUCCUAAGGACUAUUGGGGCUAUCAUCGAUAUGAAGGAAGGGAAUAUUGGAUUUCAAUUUCCUUUAUGGAAGGGCAUGGAACACUUUCCUAGAAAGAAAAUAAGAUUGCCUUAUGAAUCCAUGAUGAGGGCCACUUAUGGUUUGAGCACCAAAGACGACGAUACGUGAUUCUAUCGCUUCUAUGCCUAGCUAAGGGCGUUAAACAAUAGCGCUUGUUGGGAGGCAACCCAAUGAAUUUAUAUUUUUCUUUCUGUUUUGUUGCGUCCACACUUUCAUAAUUCUGUUGUGAUUUUUUUUUGUGUUUCUUGUUGUGUUUGAGACAAGCAAAGCCUUUAUGAUUAGUCUUGGUAAUGGUUGUUUGAUCCUGCUGGAAAAAGACAGAAACUUUUUGCUGACAAGAUGAUUUUUCAUUUUUAUUCAGAAAGAGCUUUUGAGUUGAUUCUUUUUUAUGCUGAUUGAUAUGCUUUUUCCCCAGACUGUCGUAAUUUUUCAGAUGUUUUGAGGUACCACAAGUAUACGAAGUAUACAGAUUGCUACAGACUGGUCUAUUUUUGACAGAUUCUGUUUUUUGUUGAGUUGGUUGCUUGUUUUUGAUGAAACUAUGGUUAGUAUCGGGGGGUACUAGCCAUGGGAAAGUGAGAAUACAGUAGACCAUCAUAAAUAUAGAUAGAAUUCAUGUUUUCUAUAGUACCAAAAGAAGUGGUAGUUUGUUUUCUUGUACUAAUGUUAUCACAAGUUUCUAUUUAAGUUUUGUCUUGUGAAGUUUUCAAGUUUUGGGUGAUGUUCUCAUGGACAAAGAGAUAAGGAGUGGAAAGAGCUCAAGUUUGGGUAUGCCCAAGGCACCCAAAGCCAAAUUCAAGGACACCAAAAAGCCUAAGCUUGGGGAUGCCACGGGAAGGCAUCCCCUCUUUGGUCUUCAAUCCAUCGGUAACAUUACUUGGAGCUAUAUUUUUAUUCACCACAUGAUAUGUGUUUUGCUUGGAGCGACUUGUAUCAUAGGAGUCUUUUCUUUUUGGUGUGUCACAAUCAUCCUUGCUGCACACCUUUUUGAGAGACAGAGACAUGCACUCAUCAUGAUUUUGCUAGAAUGCUCAUUGUGCUUCACUUAUAUCUUUUGAGAUAGAUACUUUUGCUCAUGUGCUUCACUUAUAUCNNNNNNNNNNNNNNNNNNNNNNNNNNNNNNNNNNNNNNNNNNNNNNNNNNNNNNNNNNNNNNNNNNNNNNNNNNNNNNNNNNNNNNNNNNNNNNNNNNNNNNNNNNNNNNNNNNNNNNNNNNNNNNNNNNNNNNNNNNNNNNNNNNNNNNNNNNNNNNNNNNNNNNNNNNNNNNNNNNNNNNNNNNNNNNNNNNNNGUGCUUCACUUAUAUCUUUAGAGCACGGCGGUGCGUGAUUUGGUAGUUGGCUUAUGCUAUGAAAGUAGUCCCAUGUGCUAGGUACCCAAAGAGGAUGCAAAAACCUCCAUCUUCAUGUGCAUUGAGUAGAAAGAGAAGUUUCGAUUCCUCUCAAUUAGUUUUGAGACAUGGAUUCGUUAAUAUUAAAAGCUAUGUUAGUAGGGUAUUGUGAAUCUAGAAAUACUUGUGUUGAAGUUAGUGAUUCCCGUAGCAUGCACGUAUGGUGAACCGCUGUGUUAUAAAGUCGGAGCAUAAUUGAUCUAUGGAUUGUCAUCCUUUGUGUUGAGGUCGGGAUCGCGCGAUGAUUUACACCUACCAACCCUUCCCCUC